CUCAUCUCUUUCUGUCUGGUUGUUUGUUUCCCUUGUUUUCCAUUUUUUUUCCUCGAUUCCUGUGUGGUUCACUUCGAUUUGCUUUCGAUCAUGGAGAUGGAGCGCAUAACCGAGUUUCCCCUUACGCACCUGGAUCGGCGACCCAGGAAAAGGACUCGUUUGGGCUGGGACGUUCCUCAGGUUCCUAAGGCUCAGGUAGGAUUAUUUUGUGGACAAGAGGUUGGGAAUGUA
rnacentral:misc_RNA from 1 species